rnacentral:rRNA from 1 species
AUUGAACGCUGGCGGCAGGCCUAACACAUGCAAGUCGAACGAGUGGCGGACGGGUGAGUAAUGUCUGGGAAACUGCCCGAUGGAGGGGGAUAACUACUGGAAAAGGUAGCUAAUACCGCCUACAAUCGGAUGGGCCCAGAUGGGAUUAGCUAGUAGGUGGGGUAACGGCUCACCUAGGCGACGAUCCCUAGCUCGUCUGAGAGGAUGACCAGCCACACUGGACCUUAGACCCGGUCCAGACUCCUACGGGAGGCAGCAGUUGGGAAUAUUGCACAAUGGGCGCAAGCCUGAUGCAGCCAUGCCGAGUGUAUGAAGAAGUCCUUCGGGUUGUAAAGUACUUUCAGCGAGGAGGUGUUACUCGCAGAAGAAGCACCGGCUAACUCCGUGCCAGCAGCCGCGGUAAUAC